GCAUAACGCGAAGAACCUUACCCACCUUUGACAUGUACGGAAUCCUUUAGAGAUAGAGGAGUGCUCGAAAGAGAGCCGUAACACAGGUGCUGCAUGGCUGUCGUCAGCUCGUGUCGUGAGAUGGUUAGGGUUAACGUCCCGACAACGAGCGACCUAACCCUUCGCCUAUUUAGUUGCUACUAUUUAGUUGAGCACUACUAAUGGGACUGCCGGUGAACAAACCGGAGGAAGGGUGGGGAUGACGUCAAGUCCUCAUGGCCCUUAUAGGGUGGGGCUACACACGUCAUACAAUGGCUGGUAACAAAGGGUUGCCAACCCGCGAGGGGGAGCUAACUCCCAUAAACGCCAGUGUACGUCCGAGUCGCAGUCUGCAACUCGACUGCGUGAAGUACGGAAUCGCUAGUAAUCGUGGAUCAGAAUGUCACGGUGAAUAC
rnacentral:rRNA from 1 species